rnacentral:rRNA from 1 species
UGGGGAAUAUUGCACAAUGGGCGCAAGCCUGAUGCAGCCAUGCCGCGUGUAUGAAGAAGGCCUUCGGGUCGUAAAGUACUUUCAGCGGGGAGGAAGGGAGUAAAGUUAAUACCUUUGCUCAUUGACGUUACCCGCAGAAGAAGCACCGGCUAACUCCGUGCCAGCAGCCGCGGUAAUACGGAGGGUGCAAGCGUUAAUCGGAAUUACUGGGCGUAAAGCGCACGCAGGCGGUUUGUUAAGUCAGAUGUGAAAUCCCCGGGCUCAACCUGGGAACUGCAUCUGAUACUGGCAAGCUUGAGUCUCGUAGAGGGGGGUAGAAUUCCAGGUGUAGCGAUGAAAUGCGUGGAGAUCUGGAGGAAUACCGGUGGCGAAGGCGGCCCCCUGGACGAAGACUGACGCUCAGGUGCGAAAGCGUGGGGAGCAAACAGG